rnacentral:misc_RNA from 1 species
CCGAGCUUACAACUCCCAAACCCCUGUGAACAUACCUAUACGUUGCCUCGGCGGAUCAGCCCGCGCCCCGUAAAAAGGGACGGCCCGCCCGAGGACCCCUAAACUCUGUUUUUAGUGGAACUUCUGAGUAAAACAAACAAAUAAAUCA